AUUCUAUCCUCCUGAUCUCUCCCACCCACCACAUCCUCUCAUCCAAGAAAUCAAGCAAUUCCAGGUGAAAAAAUAAAUAAAAAGGUCAGAAAAAGAACAUCAUAUCCAAAGCAUGUGAGCAACUUUAUUUUGAUAAAUGACUGCUCGCCUUCCUUGGGAGUUGCAAUGUUUUUCAGAGUUCAGUGAUGAACCAGGCACGGGGAGCAC